rnacentral:misc_RNA from 1 species
GAUGAAGAACGUAGCGAAAUGCGAUACUUGGUGUGAAUUGCAGAAUCCCGUGAACCAUCGAGUCUUUGAACGCAAGUUGCGCCCGAAGCCAUUAGGCCGAGGGCACGCCUGCCUGGGCGUCACACGUCGUUGCCCCCCCAUCUACUCCUUCGGGAUUGCGGGGGGCGGAUGAUGGCCUCCCGUGCGCCUCGUCGCGCGGUUGGCCUAAAUGCCAAGUCCUCGGCGACGCACGCCACGACAAUCGGUGGUUGCGAAACCUCGGUUGCCCGUCGUGUGCGGUCGUCGCGCAUCGAGGGCUCGAAAAAAUUGCCGGGCUUCGGCUCGACUUUCAACGCGACCCCAGGUCAGGCGGGGUUACCCGCUGAAUUUAAGCAUAUCAAUAAGCGGGGA